rnacentral:lncRNA from 1 species
CCUUAAGGGAAUAAAUAACCACUAGGAUAUUUUUAUUACAUUAACUAAGAAAACAAUAAAUUUGUUAUAAACAGUGUAGCUUAUAUAUUUCAUCCAUUUACUUAAUGAUUUACGUGAAUAAAAGCAAUCUGGGGGGACUGUGAUGAGUAUUUUCUGAAAAUGUCUCAACUAAUUAUUGUUUUGUAUUCACUUUGUUAUAAUUGAAUAAUUCGACUCAUAGCUGUUAAGAAUAAUUAUUUUGAGAUAUUAAACAUAAUCACCAUUUUCUUCCUUAAUGCUUAUUUCUUAGAUUAUUUAUGUAGUUAUUGUGCACUAGCAUCCAUGAAUGGUGGUAUACUUUUUAUUCAUUAAAAUCAGUUCAUGAUGAGUUUUUGUUUCUAUUUAAUUUAAUAAGCACUGAACAUUUAGCUGUAUGCAUAACAUUCUGCUGGUUAUUGGAAUGGAAGAUGUAGGCAUUGUGGGCUCUCACACAGGGUGCCCUAGGGCAUGCUUUGGUAUCGAAACAAACUCCAGUGUCUCAGGGUUUAACACAGUAACAAGUUAUUUCCCUUUCAUUUCAGAGUCCAACACAGAUCCUGGCAGUUUUUCUUGGAGACUGUCCUCUGACGCUUGUUGGGGUCUAGGAUCCUUCCAUAAUGAGAUUCUGACAUCUCUACACAAGGCUUCCCAGGUCUCUGUGGAGGGAAAGAGAGUUGGAGGAUUGCAUAGGCUGGAUUUCAGUUUGGAAACCUGAAAAAUGAAAUGUGAUGGCCCACGAGGAUAGAAGUGGAAUUGAAAUAAGUAAUUGAUUGCAGUCUACACUUUGAAGGUGUAUUAAUUUGGGGAAGUGAUGGCAAAGUAAAUUAACCUAUAGCAGAGAAGAACA